rnacentral:lncRNA from 1 species
AACAAUUUUUUAAAAAAAAUAAAUUAUGAAUAAAAGAAUUAUUUUUAUUUUUUAUUAUAAAUAAAUAUUUUAGAUUAAAAAAUACAAAAAAUUUACCAUCCAGUCCCACAUCUUUUUACAUAAAAAUAUCAUUUAAAAAAUUUAAAAGAACAUGCAUAUAAUUAUCUUCUUCUUCUUUUUUUUUGAAAGAGAGAGAAGUAGCAUACUACUCACUUCAUUUAUUUUUAUUCGAAAUAAAUUUAGCUAGAAAUGUGAAUCAACUAAAAUUUAAAUUGAAAUUUCAGAUACCAACUAUCAAAUUUUUUACCACUUGCGCCAGGGAUAGUUUCUAUAAAAUUCGAACUUGUGCAUUUAUUGACCAUGAUGAUUAUUGUCUCAAAAUGCUAAGUACCCUCUAAGUAAGGUAAACUUAUGCUUCGUUUGGGAGUGCGGAGGAAUUGCGUUACGUGCGGUGAGAAAGUAUGUUGGAAAAUACCCUGUUUGUUUCCGUACGUAAUAUUGCAUUCCGCAUAUCGCGAUGAGUCGGUUACGGUAUAUUUUCUGCGGUCCCACCGGAGAACGCAUAAGCAUAUCUCUAUAUCCUUUUUCUUAACUCCAUUUUAUCUAAUAGCGUUAGAUAGACCUUAAUACCAAACUAAGCCUUGUGUUCUUGUACUUCAAAUGUAAACAUUUUAGUUUUGGUAA